rnacentral:rRNA from 1 species
GACGAACGCUGGCGGCGUGCCUAAUACAUGCAAGUAGAACGCUGAAGGAGGAGCUUGCUUCUCUGGAUGAGUUGCGGACGGGUGAGUAACGCGUAGGUAACCUGCCUGGUAGCGGGGGAUAACUCUUGGAAACGAUAGCUAAUACCGCAUAAGAGUAGAUGUUGCAUGACAUUUGCUUAAAAGGUGCACUUGCAUCACUACCAGAUGGACCUGCGUUGUAUUAGCUAGUUGGUGGGGUAACGGCUCACCAAGGCGAGGAUACAUAGCCGACCUGAGAGGGUGAUCGGCCACACUGGGACUGAGACACGGCCCAGACGCCUACGGGAGGCAGCAGUAGGGAAUCUUCGGCAAGGGACGGAAGUCUGACCGAGCAACGCCGCGUGAGUGAAGAAGGUUUUCGGAUCGUAAAGCUCUGUUGUAAGAGAAGAACGAGUGUGAGAGUGGAAAGUUCACACUGUGACGGUAUCUUACCAGAAAGGGACGGCUAACUACGUG